GUAGAGGCCCACCUCUCCUUUCCUUCCUUCUCAACAAAAAUCACCAGCUCUUCGUCCAAACACGAAACACCCACGUAGCAAGGAAAGAGGAAGACCUUUUUUUUUUAAUUCUUGCAGGUUUGAUGAUUUCCUGCAAACUUCCUCUUUCUUUUAUGUAGUACUAAUAAUCUUUCUUUCUUGGUUUCCAUAACAAAAAUCCCAAAGAAAAUUCAAGAUUAAUCCCAUAGAGGGUUAUUCAUCCCAUGAGAACAUUGUGUCCAAAUUUGGACAAGGCAGAUGGGUUGGAGACAGUUUUGGAGGUCCCCAUACCAGAGGAGAUGUUUAACAAUAUGGGUAGCAAUGGUGCCUUACAAUGGCGGAAUAUGCGCAAUCUUAUGAGGGCUCAAAGUGCAGACAGAUAUUCUUCUUCUUCUCAUCAUGCCGCUGUAUCAAGUAAUGAUCAAUUCAUGUUCUUGUUUAAAAUCGUUGGCUCUGCUCUUGUCCCUUUUCAAGUUCAAUUGGACCAUAUUGCUGAUAACAUGCCUGUUAGGAAUGGUUCAAUGGAGGCUGCUACUGCUAAAUACAUAGUACAACAAUAUUUGGCAGCAUGUGGAGGGCAGGCGGCGUUAAAUUCGCUAAAUAGCAUGUGUGCAGUAGGGCAGGUGAAGAUGGCUACAUGGGACAUCCAUCAAAGUGGUGGUGACGCCAACUCGAAACGCCAUUGUGAGGUUGGAGCCUUUGUGCUUUGGCAGAAGAACCCUGACCUGUGGGUUUUAGAAUUGGUUGUUUCAGGUUGCAAGAUAAGUGCAGGAAGUAAUGGGAAGGUUGCUUGGAGUCAGUCUUCCUCUACUUCUAGUGCUUCAAAAGGUCCUCCAAGACCCCUUAGAAGGUUUUUCCAGGGCUUGGACCCUAGAUCAACGGCCAAUUUGUUCUUGAAUGCUAUUUGCGUUGGAGAAAAGACUAUUAAGGAUGAAGAAUGUUUUAUUUUAAAACUAGAAUCAAGCAUAGACAUGCUCAAGGCACAAAGUACGGCAAAUACAGAAGUUGUCCAUCACACAAUAUUGGGAUACUUCAGCCAAAGGACAGGGCUUCUGAUUCAAUUUGAAGACACAAAAUUAGUAAGAUUGAAGUCACCAAAGGGGGAUAGCAAUGUCUUUUGGGAAACAAGUAUGGAAUCUAUGCUUGAAGAUUAUAGAUAUAUUGAAGGUAUCAACAUUGCUCACAGUGGGAAGACUGCAGCAACAAUUUACAGAUAUGGAAAGAACAUAGACUAUAGAGCAAAGAUUGAGGAGACUUGGAUGAUUGAAGAGAUUGAUUUCAAUAUAUCUGAUUUGCCAAUGGACUGCUUCUUGCCUCCUGCUGAAUUUGAAGAGCAAGGAAUGGGUUGCUGAUGUGAAAAUUUUCCUUGUAUAUAUAUAGGCUAGAUCUUUUUCUUUUCUUGUCAAGAAGAUUUCAGGGAGCCUUGGCGUAACUGGUAAAGUUGCUGACAUGUUAUCAGGAGGUCACGAGUUCAAGCCGUAGAAAUAGCCUUUUGUAUAAAUGCAGGGUAAGGCUGCGUACAAUAGGCCCUUAUAGUCCGAGCCUUUUCCUGAUCUUGCGCAUAGCAGGAGCUUAGUGCACCAGACUGCACUUUCGUCUGGUAGCAUUACCAUGUUAUAUUAGAGUUAUAUUGACCCACUGGUAACUCAGAGGUUUACUUAGUUGUUGGACUUUCUCUGUUCAACUUUUUUUAUUUUUUGAACUUACAAGCAUCCUUUUGCUUUUAAUAUCUCCCCCCUAAUAUGCUUCUUGCAUCACAUUUUAUCCAUUUUCUUCAAACCAUAAAGAUCUACUU